rnacentral:rRNA from 1 species
GGCCGCGGGAAUUCGAUUAGAGUUUGAUCAUGGCUCAGGAUGAACGCUGGCGGUAUGCCUAACACAUGCAAGUCGUACGAGAGUUUUUAACUCUAGUGGCGGACGGGUGAGUAACACGUGAGAAUUUGCCUUUAGGAGGGGGAUAACAAUUGGAAACGAAUGCUAAUACCCCAUAUGCUUUCGAGUGAAAUGAAUUUUUUAUUUGCCUAAAGAGAAGCUCGCGGCUGAUUAGCUUGUUGGUAAGGUAAGAGCUUACCAAGGCGACGAUCAGUAUCUGGUUUGAGAGGACGAUCAGACACACUGGAACUGAGACACGGUCCAGACUCCUACGGGAGGCAGCAGUGGGGAAUUUUCCGCAAUGGGCGAAAGCCUGACGGAGCAAUACCGCGUGAGGGAAGAAUGCCUAUGGGUUGUAAACCUCUUUUUUCAGGGAGGAAUAAAUGACGUGUACCUGAAGAAUAAGCAUCGGCUAACUCCGUGCCAGCAGCCGCGGUAAGACGGAGGAUGCAAGUGUUAUCCGGAAUCACUGGGCGUAAAG